rnacentral:rRNA from 1 species
CUUGCCUGCCCAGUGAUCACUUUUAAACGGCCGCGGUAUCCUAACCGUGCAAAGGUAGCAUAAUCACUUGUCCCCUAAAUAGGGACUGGAAUGAACGGCUAAAUGAGGACUUAACUGUCUCUUGCACUUUACUAAUGAAACUGAUCUCUUAGUCCAAAAGCUAAGAUCUCACCACAAGACGAGAAGACCCUGUGGAGCUUUAAACCAAACUCAUACCCAUGAACCCUUGGUUUUUAGUUGGGGCGACUUCGGAGCACAAAAAACCCUCCGACACGGAAUUUAACCUAAUUAGAUUAACACAUCAACCACUCAUGACCCAGCAACUAAUCUUAGCUGCCUGAUCAAUGAACCAAGUUACCCCAGGGAUAACAGCGCUAUCCCCCUUUAGAGUUCCUAUCGACAGGGGGGUUUACGACCUCGAUGUUGGAUCAAGACCCCUAAUAGUGCACCCGCUAUUAAAGGCUCGUUUGUUCAACGAUUAAAGUCUUACGUGAUCUGAGUUCAGACCGGA